rnacentral:misc_RNA from 1 species
GAAACGCGAUAGUUAAUGUGAAUUGCAGAACUCAGUGAAUCAUCGAGUCUUUGAACGCACAUUGCGCCCAUAGGUAUUCCUUUGGGCAUGUCUGUUUGAGCGUCAUUACAACCCUCAGCUAACCGCUGGUUUUGAACCUGAACGGGUGACACCGCGCCGGUUUUAAAGUUGUAAGCUCUGCUGGCCACUCUGCCCAACCAGAACAUAGUAAGCACUACUUGUCCGGGUGAAGCUGAACGGUACGGCCUGAACAAAACCUACCCACUCUCAAGGUUUGACCUCAGAUCAGACAAGGAUACCCGCUGAACUUAAGC